AAAGAAAACAGUAUUUUAUGAAAAAUUAUGAUUAAAACAACAUUACAUUGUCAGGUUAAUUGACCAGAUCUUUCAACGGUUGAUGUUGAUAUCUGUAAAAUAACUGCUUAUGGUUGGUCAACAAAUCAAUGACUAAUCAUUAGUUACUCAAUUUACUGCUAAUAAUCAGAAAACAUUUUAUAUGGUAAAUAUAUGGUAUUUGAAGAAAACUGGUACUCCACAACAACAAAACCUAAUGGGCUAUAAAAUAUGUUAAAAGAAGCUGGCGCUCUCCUGGACAAUUAGUUGUUUCAAUUGUUUCAAUUCAGUUUUAAUUUUACUAAAAAAAUGACUUAAUGUUUUUUAUCUGUUUGUCUGUUAUUUUGGGGUUGUUGUUUUUUAGGUUUUCACAGUGGACCGUGUGCCCUUGCCUUGUUUUUUCUCUUGAAUGCUUCUCCUUUUUUUUUUUUUUUUUUUUUUUACAAACAAGCCUUGUGACCUUUUGCUAACUGCCUCCUCUUUUUCUCCACUGUCCAUGGGUUCGGUUCACACGCCCCAAUGUUUGAAUUUCACAGCCCACCCACAAACUCUUCCACUUCUUAUAGUCUAAGCAUUACAGUACUUCACUCAGAUAAACAAACAUACAAUAUACUAUGUGAAAUAACGACAACAUUAACGCUUUUAACGUGCUCAUUCAAUUCCUACCUGUGAGAGACGACUGACAUUCCGCCGCUCUUUGGAAA